GACGAACGCUGGCGGCGUGCUUAACACAUGCAAGUCGAGCGGUAAGGCUCCUUCGGGAGUACACGAGCGGCGAACGGGUGAGUAACGCGUGAGCAAUCUGCCCUUCUCAUCGGAAUAACCAUUGGAAACGAUGGCUAAUGCCGAAUACGACUUCCUUUCGCAUGUCUGGAAGUGGAAAGCUCCGGCGGAGAAGGAUGAGCUCGCGGCCUAUCAGCGUGUUGGUGAGGUAAUGGCUCACCAAGGCGACGACGGGUAGCCGGCCUGAGAGGGUGACCGGCCACACUGGGACUGAGACACGGCCCAGACUCCUACGGGAGGCAGCAGUGGGGAAUAUUGGACAAUGGGCGAAAGCCUGAUCCAGCAACGCCGCGUGAGGGAUGACGGCCUUCGGGUUGUAAACCUCUUUCAGUAGGGAAGAAGCGAAAGUGACGGUACCUGCAGAAAAAGCACCGGCUAACUACGUGCCAGCCGCCGCAGUAA
rnacentral:rRNA from 1 species